rnacentral:lncRNA from 1 species
UAGAUAUCAUCCACUACAAUGAAGAACAAUAGUAACAUUUCUCUAUACCUUGAACAAUAAUAAAUCAUUUACAGUACAUUUGGCCAAGCAACCAAUUAGUAGAAGAACAAUGACAUUUCUCUAUUUCUUGAAUUCCACAUAUGGGAGUAUGGAUGGCGUCACUCGUAACAAUACAUAUGCCUUUUGUUUAUUUGCCUGGCAAAAUCAUCAGAUGAAUCAAUCAAAUAGGAGGAGCUGGGCAAUAUAUUUCAAACCAAAACAAAGAAUUGAUCCUAACUACAUGAAGUGCAGUAGCUUUAAAGCCUCCAAAUUAUUUUGCUGCUACUCCACCAGGAACGUGCAGGGCUUCAAGAACCCAAAGGCGCCACUCGAGCUCUUUUCGGCCUCAUAAGCCCUGUUGUUGUUUAUAUCCUUAACCCAAAAGGUUGCCUCUUAGCAUCUCUAUUGUUCUCCCGAUCCUUGUUAGGUGUCGGCUUAUCCUGAAGAAAAGGCAAUUGAUAUAGUAUUAUCAUUAAAUAAAUCCACAGUUAACAUAUGGAUCGUGGGGAAUGGCAAGAUGCCAUAUUGUGGUUCGCAACACGAAUAGAAGACCACUAAUUUAAUGCCACUAAUUUACAGAAGGGCAAAAAUGCCUGAACACCCUUAAGAAAGGCCAUGAUGAUGAGGUGAGAACAGGCAGGCUAGUCAUCCAAGUGAAACUUAAAAUGGAACAAAAAAAUUGCCAUAAUGGUGUUGCUUGGAAAAUUCACAGUACAAUGCAGAAUGGAAUUAGUGUGACGUGUUGAUGCCACUAAAAAAACACCCUUAAGAAACACAAUCAAUUGAACCUUGAACAGAAGUAGGCCUAGAGCUAGAAAACAAUACAUCAUAUUACUAAGCAAAAGCAAAUAGAAAUAUCAAAUUGAGAGGUAGAACUAUUUGAAAACAAAAAAUUAGGCCAAGUAAAACAGAAAUAUCAGUGAUUUUCUCGACAUCACUUAAGUAGAGCAAACAAAAGAUAAGUCUGAACAUUGCUUUUAUUUAGCCACAGCAUAGCACAAGCUUACUUAAUAUCCUAGGCAUAAGCACGACUAGCAGCAACAUAUGAGCAUUUGACAAAUGCAAGAUAGCACAACCAAUUUUAAACUUUGCACAACUUCAUGAAUAUACUUAAUAUCCUGGCAGCACCAUAUCCAUGCUACUUGAGGAAGUAAAUAAUCAAAUGGCAAUCACACAGGAGUUGUAGGGUUUUAUCGUUCCCGCUUUACAAUCCGAACAAAACUAUAUACUAUUAUAGUUGAUCUGCAAGAAAAUUACAUGAUACGACAAUGGCUUCGACAAAUAUCCAUCUUUUAUGGCAUAAACACAUAUAUAUUGAUUACAGUCAGUAAUGAGAAGUGAUGGUAGCUCACUCUAUAACAUCAUCCACACCAGGAAAAUAUGGUAAAGCAGUCAGAUCCCACGACAAAUAUGAUAUGAAAAUCUUGGAAAGAGAACUAUCUAGAGAACAAACUUACAUGUAAAGAUGUGUUAUGGCCUAUGAAAAUGGAGUGGUGUGAUGUCACAUUAUUUGGCUAUUGCUGUAGAAAAGCUGCUGCAACAACAAAAGAAAAACUAAAAAAUUGUGCUUAUACGCAGUAUAAUGCCUGGUCAUCAAUAUUUUGCAUCAAAUCUCAGCAAAUGCUCUAAAUACAUAUAUCAGGAACUUCUUCUAAUACUCUAGUAACAUAAUCUAAAUUAGCUGAUGUGGAAUCCUUCAAAACUAAUCGGCUGACAUAAAACCGGUGAAAUCAAUAACACAAGAAUAAUAAUUAAAUGCUUAGUUUUACUUAAAGGUAUUUUAUUUACAUAUCUAAAGCCAUCGGCGCCUGACAUUAUCAAAUUAUAAUAAUCAGUAUGCCACACUACACAUCUAUUUAACUUGCAAUAAAACUUCAACAAACAUAUCAACCAACGGUAACUGCUGUAUGCCAUGUAGAGAAAAUUGCACUCUGGCAGAGCAACGACAUGCUAGAAGCUGACAAAAGUAUUACAGAUUGACAAUAAAUAAUAGACAGCUCCAUCAGUAGCCACCGUUGUUGGGCUAUCAAAUUAAAAUUCCAUAUCUAUCAGAAAACUGAGAAAGCUUGAGGGGCUCUUAAAUACGAAGAAACGGCAUGUGCAGAGGGGCCAUACAUACUGAUUAAGAAAACUCACUUUUUAGCAACCAGACUCCCUUCAUUCAACGAUGGAGAGGUGGGGGCAUGACCAUGGGAUUUGGGCUCAGGAGCAGUAGGGCUAGAGAAACCAUACACAUCAUAACGAUGAUGUACUUCGACAACCAUGCAUAGAGCAACACAUCCUCGGCGCCCUUCUCUUUGCCACCGCCAAACAGGAGCCGGUGGUGAGGCGCCGGCCGGCUGGCGUCACCUCUUCCACUCCGCCGCAAAUCUGUUAGCAAUGCCUGACCUCCGCCCACCCUCGUAUCCCCUCUCCUCUGCAACGACUCGCUCUGUCCUCGAUCUCAACUAAUACAUCAGGAAAUAUAAAGAAUUAGUCCCUAAGCAUCAACUGUACUGAUGCAGUAGGCACAGCUUCAUAUUAUGGAUCUUAAGUUCAUCAUACUUUGUUUGAAAAAACAUCAGAAUUUCAUCAAAGGAAACAGUUUAAACUUAACUGUAUUUGCUAGUCUCAAAUUAAAUUAUCUCUGUGGGAUUGACAAAAAUCUGUCACCAUUGAAACCAACAUAUGGCUGCAAAUGUUAAUAUCCUGGAAUCUGCACUGCAUCCAGUUAGUUUCUCAAUGGUAUAUAUUUUGGAAAACUGAAACGACAUGUGCAUAUUAGGUGAAACUUGCAGGAUUAUGUGCUAAUUAUAUCUAUUUUCCAUGACCUAUAGGGUUAUGAUUUCCUUUUUGGUAGAUCAAUAAUGGUUAUCCAGUAGUGCUAAUACAGAAGAAAGGUUUAAACGAACAAUAGUCAGACAAAGCAACACGGGGAGGUGAUUGCUUACAUAUAAAACACGGGGAGGUGCUCGCUUGCUUCACCUCACCUGAACGGCCCCAUCGAAGGAAAAAAAAGGAAAACAGGCGCACGAGCCUGCAUUGUAACAUAGGAGAGCAAGCUUGAGGCAUAGAGAAGAAAAGCAGAAUUAUAUUAGAUAUUUGUGUCAAACCUCCC